AUACGGAGGGUGCAAGCGUUACCCGGAAUCACUGGGCGUAAAGCGCGCGCAGGCGGGCUGAUAAGUUGGAUGUGAAAGCCUACGGCUCAACCGUAGAACUGCAUCCAAAACUGUCAGUCUAGAGUCUGGGAGGGGAAGAUGGAAUUAGUUGUGUAGGGGUAAAAUCCGUAGAGAUAACUAGGAAUACCAAAAGCGAAGGCGAUCUUCUGGAACAGUACUGACGCUGAGGCGCGAAAGCGUGGGGAGUAAACAGGAUUAGAAACCCUAGUAGUCC
rnacentral:rRNA from 1 species